CUGCUGCCUCCCGUAGGAGUUUGGGCCGUGUCUCAGUCCCAAUGUGGCCGUCCACCCUCUCAGGCCGGCUACUGAUCGUCGCCUUGGUGGGCCGUUACCCCACCAACUAGCUAAUCAGACGCGGGUCCAUCUUACACCACCUCAGUUUUUCACACUGUCCCAUGCGGGACUGUGCGCUUAUGCGGUAUUAGCACCUAUUUCUAAGUGUUAUCCCCCUGUGUAAGGCAGGUUACCCACGCGUUACUCACCCGUCCGCCACUAAAG
rnacentral:rRNA from 1 species